UACGGAGGGUGCGAGCGUUGUCCGGAAUCAUUGGGCGUAAAGGGCGCGUAGGUGGCGGCUUAAGCGUGCGGUGAAAGCUCGGGGCUCAACCCCGAGUCGGCCGUGCGAACUGAGUCGCUUGAGCACUGUAGAGGCAAGCGGAAUACCCGGUGUAGAGGUGAAAUUCGUAGAGAUCGGGUGGAACACCAGUGGCGAAGGCGCCUGUCUGGCUGACAACUGACGAUCAGGCACGAAAGCGUGGGGAGCAAACAGG
rnacentral:rRNA from 1 species